AUGAGGCCGUCUGGUUGCAGGAAAACGAGCUCAGGGCUGCCACUGAUUCUACAUGAUGACUGGUGAAAAUAUAUGGACUGGUGAUUGGGAAUCACUACUUAGAAGAUAAAAAUAUAUCCAUUUCUAAUCACUUAUAAUUUUGCUGAAUAUUUUUAUUUUUUUCUAUCUAGAACUUAUGUUUAAAUCUUUUUUAAAAGUUUCAAAUAAAACCGGGGUUUCCUCCAUGGUGAAGAAAGCU